GCCAGAUUGGAUAAUUUCAUACUGGAAUUCGAUUUUACAUCAGAAUGACCAUUCAAUCGAGUAGUACUACCCAUUGCAUAUGGUUCAAGACGCGAAAUAUCCACAACCCACACUCCAACACAACUUUGAUUGUAAGAGCAGCCAAGGAGUUUGCCUUCGUGAAUAUUAAGAUCUGACAAUCGAGACCAUCCAACAUCUACUGUAUCAUGACAUUUAAUUGGUUCCCACGAGCAAACCUUCAAACUCUCAUGCAAACCACAGAGAAGGGUUCUUCCAUCGGGAUUGAAGGUCAUACAGCGCACCCCUGAUGUCUCAGGUCCAGAUGAACCUAUGAGCUCAAAAGUUUCAAGGUCCCAGAAUUUUACAGUUCUGUCAGCAGAACCUGUUGCAAGUAGAAACUCAUGGGGGUGAAAGUCUAUACACUGAAUCUGCCCUUCAUGACAUUUGAAAUCGUGUAAAAGCUUUCCUGCAGUCAAAUCCCAUAGCUUGACAGUAUUGUCUUCCCCACCAGAUACAACCCAUCGGCCAUCUGGAGUGAACCUGAU
rnacentral:misc_RNA from 1 species